rnacentral:rRNA from 1 species
AUAAAACUUUCAACAACGGAUCUCUUGGUUCUGGCAUCGAUGAAGAACGCAGCGAAAUGCGAUAAGUAAUGUGAAUUGCAGAAUUCAGUGAAUCAUCGAAUCUUUGAACGCACAUUGCGCCCCUUGGUAUUCCGGGGGGCAUGCCUGUUCGAGCGUCA